AAGUUUCUGCAGCUUAUCUCCCACACCCCAAAGCAAUCCAAUCUCUUUGAAAGCAGGGAGCUCAAAUCGUCCUCACCUUCAGCCAUUGCUUUGAUAAUCUGAUCAGAGGUAAUGGUCAAGGUAAGACUAGAGUCUUGGAGAGAUUAACCCAUAUUGAGCAAAGAUUAAGGAACAACGUAGACUAAUCGUCCCAAAACGCCAAGGAAAAAUAAAAAAAAGAACACAUUGGACAGAUGAUCUUAAUAUUGUUCAGGGAUUAGAUAUUUCAAACUGUGAUUGUUGACUGAUCAACCAACCAAAGGGAUUUACUCUUAAGAAUGCCGUAUAAGAUAUAACAGAAUUAAGGUACCAAUGAAACUUGAGAUAUAACCAGAUAAAUUACAUGUGCAAAGCUUAUAGCCCAAUUUCUAAAAAGAAAUGACAAUCGAAACACUUAAAAGCUUAGCAAAGAUCAUAUAAACAAUCAAGCAAUAGAAACACAUAUUUCGAAACUGAUUUUUGAGUGAGCUAAGUACCUUAGGAGGAGGAACAAGGCAGCAAGCGGCUGAGGAUGGAGGAUCAAGGUCAGAUGGAUUGAUGGUGGUGCGGCAGGCGAGCAGAUGGGAUCCGGGUCGGCGACUAUGGAUCGCUGUGUCGAUCUGGCGGUGCGGGACGGAUUUGGGUCUGGGCUUCAUAAAACACGGAUUUGGGUCAGGCCGUGGUUCAGGCGGACGGAAGAUUCAUCGCAUCAAGGUUCUGUUUCACGACAGAUGAGGCGGGAUGCAGGGGCUCUGGGUGCAGGGGUGGAGGGUUGGCGCAGUGGUUCCUGCCAGCAUUUAUAGAGAAACUUAAAAAACCCUAAUACCUAAAAUAUCAAAAUUAUUUAAAUAAUAAAAAACUUAGGAUACUAAUCUCAUUCACUUUCAACACAGGCUGUCCAAAGCGUGUUCUUAUCGAACCUGCCAGACACCAUGGCUCCUUCUAGAAUCUAAAAAAUCUAAUCAGAUUUUUGAAGUGCUAAUAAUAAUUUUCUUUCGAUAUAUGUCGAGGAUCCUUCUUGUAAGAGGGCCAGCCUUAGGUUGGUUCCAAUCAGGUAUCUCAACUUGUCAUUCAGCCUUCAACUUGUUUACUUCCUUAAAGAGCUGUAGGACAAGAGGGUCCUAAAUGAAAUCAUGUACCACUGAAGCUUUCUUUCGUAAGUGUUUUUAUUGCCUAAACCCGUUUACAUAAAUCUUUCUCCCAUGUGAUAUAUUUUCCUUUUUUUCAUACAUUUUUCAAUUUGUUUCUACCCUUUAGAUUAAUAAAUCCAAGAAGGAAUCAACGGACAAAAACCAAGCAUAAUUGCAUAGAGAUGCUAAAAGUGUGCACGCAUCACUACCUUUUUUUGGUAUGGUUGGUUUUAGAUAGAUAUCUAGAUAAGCAUUAGAGCACUUCUAGCGUUGGCUGUAGCUCGGGGGACCGGCCAGCAAACAGG
rnacentral:lncRNA from 1 species